rnacentral:lncRNA from 1 species
AUCUUCAGGGGGGCACAGAAACUCCAAAGCAAGUCAGCAAACCGGCAUUUGAUUUCUCUACAACAGAAAACAGAUACAAAUCAGUAGAUGAGAAGUUGGCAUUAUAUUUUCCAUUCCAGAUUACCUUAUUUGCAUCAGAGUUUAAGGAGACAGCAGCCAAGAGGGAGGUGAGAAGACGGGUCUGAUAUGAGACCUCUCUAUGUAAGUUGGUAGGUAUUUUGAGAUUCCAAGAAGAACUCCUAGCAUUGAAAAAAUCAAUCACUCGGCCAUUCUUCUUGUGACAAUUUCGAAACAGAUUAGAAAAGAUGAUCUGCAGAGGUGCAUCAUAUAACGAGCUGUCCUUCUAAAAAAAGUGCAUGUGUCAUGCCCGUUCCCAAUUUUAUACCGGACUCUAUUCCAGAAAAUAGGGAGAGAGUUGAUAAUAUCCUUCUAGAUACUAGAGCACCGUUUUGGCGGCUUCCACG